UACGGAGGGGGCUAGCGUUGUUCGGAAUUACUGGGCGUAAAGCGCGCGUAGGCGGCCAUUUAAGUCAGAGGUGAAAGCCCGGUGCUCAACAUCGGAAUAGCCUUUGAGACUGGGUGGCUAGAAUCUUGGAGAGGCGAGUGGAAUUCCGAGUGUAGAGGUGAAAUUCGUAGAUAUUCGGAAGAACACCAGUGGCGAAGGCGACUCGCUGGACAAGUAUUGACGCUGAGGUGCGAAAGCGUGGGGAGCAAACAGG
rnacentral:rRNA from 1 species